CGUAAACAACCUGCCUUAAGGAUGGGGAUAACAGACGGAAACGACUGCUAAUACCGAAUAACGUUCUAAGCAUCGCAUGGUGCAUAGAAGAAAGGGUGGCCUCUACAAGAAAGCUAUCGCCUUAAGAGGGGUUUGCGACUGAUUAGGUAGUUGGUGAGGUAACGGCUCACCAAGCCGACGAUCAGUAGCCGGUCUGAGAGGAUGAACGGCCACACUGGAACUGAGACACGGUCCAG
rnacentral:rRNA from 1 species